rnacentral:tRNA from 1 species
UCGCCGCUGGUGGUGGUUGAACGCUCGAACCACAGCUUCGAUCCGUUUCCUGAUGAAGGGCGGGUGUUACCGUUCGGUUCAGGUGCGGCGAU